rnacentral:rRNA from 1 species
GACGAACGCUGGCGGCGUGCCUAACACAUGCAAGUCGAACGGAAAACAUAGCAAUAUGUUUUUAGUGGCGAACGGGUGAGUAACGCGUAGACAACCAACCUUUUUGUGGGGGACAACACUUCGAAAGGAGUGCUAAUACCGCAUACGCUCCAGAUGCCGCCUGGCAUUUGGAGGAAAGGAGCUGUAAGGCUCCGCAAAAAGACGGGUCUGCGUCUGAUUAGCUAGUUGGGGGGGUAACGGCCCACCAAGGCGACGAUCAGUAGCCGGUCUGAGAGGAUGGACGGCCACACUGGGACUGAGACACGGCCCAGACUCCUACGGGAGGCAGCAGUGGGGAAUCUUCCGCAAUGGACGAAAGUCUGACGGAGCGACGCCGCGUGAGUGAUGAAGGCCCUUGGGUCGUAAAGCUCUGUCAUCAGGGACGAACGGUCACGUCAGGAAAUGGGCGUGAAUUGACGGUACCUGAGAAGGAAGCCACGGCUAACUACGUGCCAGCCGCCGCCGUA